AACGCGAAGAACCUUACCUGGGCUUGAACCGCACAGGACCAUCUCUGGAAACAGAGACUUCCCGCAAGGGACCUGUGUAGAGGUGCUGCAUGGCUGUCGUCAGCUCGUGCCGUGAGGUGUUGGGUUAAGUCCCGCAACGAGCGCAACCCUUACUCAUAGUUGCCAACACGCAAGGUGGGGACUCUAAUGAGACUGCCUAGGUUAACUAGGAGGAAGGUGAGGAUGACGUCAAGUCCGCAUGGCCUUUAUGUCUGGGGCUACACACGUGCUACAAUGGUCGGUACAGAAGGCAGCAAGACCGCAAGGUGGAGCAAAUCCGUAAAACCGAUCUCAGUUCAGAUUGUAGUCUGCAACUCGACUACAUGAAGCUGGAAUUGCUAGUAAUGACGUGUCAGCAACAACGUCGUGAAUACGUUCCCGGGCCUUGUACACACCGUAGAGAC
rnacentral:rRNA from 1 species